UACGGAGGGUGCAAGCGUUAUCCGGAUUCACUGGGUUUAAAGGGUGCGUAGGCGGGCAUGUAAGUCAGUGGUGAAAUCUCAGAGCUUAACUCUGAAACUGCCAUUGAUACUAUGUGUCUUGAAUUUCCUGGAGGUUAGCGGAAUAUGUCAUGUGGCGGUGAAAUGCUUAGAUAUGACAUAGAACACCGAUUGCGAAGGCAGCUGACUACGGGGUAGAUUGACUCUGAGGCACGAAGCGUGGGGAUCAAACAGGG
rnacentral:rRNA from 1 species